rnacentral:miRNA from 1 species
CGGGAGUGGUGAUGGGCG